rnacentral:tRNA from 2 species
GGUUUCAUAGUGUAUUGGUCAACAUGUCUUCUUUACAUGCAGAAGGUCCUGGGUUCAAUCCCCAGUGAAACCA